UACAGAGGUCCCAAGCGUUGUUCGGAUUCACUGGGCGUAAAGGGUGCGCAGGUGGGUUGGCAAGUUCGAUGUGAAAGCCCCGGGCUUAACCCGGGAAUGGCAUUGGAUACUGCUGAUCUGGAGGAUCGGAGGGGAGACUGGAAUUCCUGGUGUAGCGGUGAAAUGCGCAGAUAUCAGGAGGAACACCGAGGGCGGAGGCAGGUCUCUGGGCAUUAACUGACGCUGAGGAGCGAAAGCAUGGGGAGCGAACAGG
rnacentral:rRNA from 1 species